AAGUUUUUUUUGCUGGUUGACAUUGAAAGUAAACUUUUUUCUCUCUCUUUUUUAACCAAGCUGAUGACCGAUUAAUGUGCUCGUUGUCAGGCAACUAUCUUCAAAUAUUCAUUAUCUUCUUCAGUUAUCUUCUAAUUUUUGUUUAUGUUAACAAUCUUCAACUUUUGUUCACCAACAAAGAUUGGUGUUUUUGUUUUCUCUUUUCUUAUCCUUCAAGGUUAAACUGAUAAGUCUUUUAUUGUGUUUUGGCUGGCGUUUGUGUAUCUUUUGGUAUUGCUGUUUGCUCUUUAGUCUGGAAAUUGACGAGCAAUGAACAGUCAGUUAAUGCACUUCGUUUGGAAAUAAUGGAACACAUUCAGAGACGUUAUGACACUGAUCUAUCUUACCGGUUCCUAGAAAUACUUCAGAAUAAGCUGAUCUGCUGUGGAGCAGAGUCUGAGCGAGAUUAUGGUGACAGAGAAUGGGUUCCAUGUCCAAUUGAAACGAUAACUCAACCUCAAGGAUGUGCUGUUAGUUUACAAAAUUCAUUGGACGUUAAAAGUGGUAUUCUGGGAGGCCUUAACAUUCUUGCCAUGGUGCUACAACUUUUGAGCAUAUUUAUCUGGUUCACAGGUGAGACGGGUCCAUAUAAAAUGAUAAAAAGCUAAAAGCUUGGACCAUGAUUACCUGUUGAAUAUGGAGGAAAAAACUUAAAAUCAAGAUUACUGGAACAAACUCAAGCUCUGGUAAAUCACUCGAUUUAAGGAGAAACAUAACAAUUAUUGGUUUAUUUCCCAUCGGUGUGAAACUAUGGACUGACCUCAAACGAUUUCAUUUUCAAGCUUUUUUUAACGAAUGAAAAAGAGCCACUAAACAUCGAGCUUAAUCUCUUUUUUUAAAUAAUCGUUGUGAUACAAUCACCUGCUCUAUUCUCUCGUUAAUAGUUUUACGUUGAAUUUUCGUCUCUUUUACCAAACUUAUUAUUUUAUAAUUUUUGAACUAUUUUACUAGUCAAUUGUCAACUAAUUUUUACCAAAGUCAGACUCGGUCAAAGCAGAUUGUUGGUCACUACAUAUUCAACGUUAUUUGUAUUUUUUGUCAACUAUACCAAAAUAAAAAUAUAUCAACUUGAAACUUGAAUGAUUGAUGUAAAAAGUUUGUUAUGACAAGGUUAAAAAUACGAAAAGCGAUCACAUUUGUUUUCAAAAAUGUCAACAAACAGGUUUAUCUGACAAUUAAGCUAUUGUAUACUGUUAAAAACAUCAUUACCGUUGCCGCAUAUUGAUUUGAUGUUAAUGACAAUAAAAUAAAUGUAACACAGCUGAAUUACAGAACAGCAAGAGAUAGAAAUAGGUUGAGUUUACAUUUAUUUAUUGGUACAAAAAUUGUUUGUCAAUUAUUGUUGAAUAUCAAGUUUUUAACAGUUGUUUAAUUAUCAGCCAAUUUUAAUUGAAAUAGCUCGCCAGGGUUGAUAAUGUCAGAGUUUAACAGUACUUUAGAUUUGGUUGACAAUGAGGAGUUAAAGAUCUCUGAUUGUUGGAUUAAAGGUAAACAAUCAACUCAACCAAUAUCAUCAUCUGAAAAUGGACUUCAAGAAAGUGAACUCAACGAUUUGGAUAGAGAUGAAGAAAUGCCUAGAUCAAGAAGGAAAAAGCUACCUUCCAUUGUUGAAGGUGAUUUCUCUCCUCUGGGUAUUACAUCUUUGAAGCAAAGUUUUUUCGAUAAAAUCAGAGAAGCUCGGAGCAAAUCGUCCAAUGAAUGGAGUUUCUUAAUUACUUUUUUACGUGUUACUUGUGGCCCAUGUUUUUGGGCUUUUUGUUUGGUUACCACAUUAAUUGCUCCACUGUUGAUGCUUCUUAUUGGUAGUGUCCUAUUCAAUCAAUGUCCAAGCCAUCCAUCUUUGCCCCCUCUCUUGAUCAUCAUAGGUUUAAUCACCUGUUUGGGAAAUCUGGUCAACAUUGUAGAUUCCUUUAUCGGUUGGAAAACAAUUUUAGGCUUUAACCGACAGAAUGGUGAUUGGACUCGCAUUGUAAUUGUCACCAACAUAGCAAUAAAUACCUGUGACACCAUUCUAACCAUCAUUUUAGGAUUUAUCAUUGGAUUCACUUCAAAACCAUCAGCCAACAGUGUUGACGGUAGCCAUUAUUGUAAUCCAGUUGUUUACAAAUUCUCUUAUUGGUUUGUCACUCUAAUUUUUAUUUAUGCUGCCUUGAUUAUCAUACUACUGGUUGUUAGUUUGGCUUUAGUUUACAUCAAGACCCAUUUCAAUACUAAUCGAGAUUCGUGAGUUGAAAGCUUAUUUGUACAAAUUUGUUACAAUUUGUUUCUCCAGUUUCAAUGCUUAAAUUAUUGAUACCAUUCAUGGUUAAAGUUUGGACCUGUUAUCGGCCGUUAAAUAUGAUUAAAGAAGAGUUAAUUUAUCAAAAUUUAAUGACAUUAUGGCUACUAAACUAAAUUGUAUUAUGGUAAUCAACAAAUUAGAGGUUAACCCUUACUAAUGCCGAAAGUAGAGCAAAACUCUAAUCAAAACUGUUUAUUAAUAACAUCUUCAAAUACAUCCACUACAUCAGUAUUUAGACACUACUUUAGAUUGGUACCUUGAAUUAAUGUUAGCAGUUGAUUUGUGAGAAACAAGUGGAAAGCUAAAGACCAUUACUAACAUUAUCACUAAUGAUUACAAUUCUUGUAAGGAAAAUAUUUUAAUCGUUAUAGAGUUAUAGAGUUAUUCAAUCAAUUUAAAUCAUGUUCAUCACAUGUUUAAAUUCUUGCAAGCUUCACCAUGCUCAGGAAAUGAAACAAUUUUAAUUUUCUUAUUUCCUUUCUUCUUCAUCUUCAAUUUACUAUCGAGCUUGAUUGAAUACCAAAAAAGUAUACUUUUAACAUAACAAUUAUCAAUUUUUGUAUAAGUGUAACAAUUGAAGUCGAAAUUACUCUUGAUCUAUUUUUCAUGCAAACGGACAGUAACCAUCACUGAUCAUCUAAAUUUAGCUCAUCUGAUCGUCUAAUGUUAGAUCUGUUGGAUAUGUCAGAAUGCAUAUUAGACAUUUUCCUUCACUAACCUCCUCCCGCUUUCACUGUCUUAAUUAACAGACCAACGCCAAUUUGGAUAUACUUUGUAUUUGUAUUAAUACUUUAAGAUUUUUUUAUCUCACCUUAAAUUCCCUUUCACUAAACACAAUUCCAUUUCUGGACAAAUGGACAACCUUUUCACUGAAGCGUUAAACAAUCUUAUAAAAUGUAUUGUCCAUCUUGAAGUCUUUCAGUUACUUCAAACUCGCAAAUUGAACAAGUUAUUUUGUCUCGUUUCCUUUUGUCAUUUACAUAAUACACACCACUACCCUCUUAAGGAAACUUUUUUCACUCUCUCUUGAGGAAAUUUUCAUAGUCGCCAUCUAGUUACUUAAUUACAUAACGUUAGACGACUCAUGUUAUCGAUAUCCUCUGACACAAUAAGUUAGAUCUAUGCGAUAGAUGGCGACUUAGAAGAUUGUGUUUCCUUAAGAGAGUAGUGGUGUGUAAGUUGAUAAUUUUUCUCAAUUUUUACUUGUUAAUUACAGCCAAGGCUCACGAUAAACUUAAAAAUGUUUAAAUCUCCGACAGCAAUGAUCUUGAUUAUUAUCUUCACAUCUUACAUUUCUUUGGUUGCAAGUAAUGAUGUGUCUCUGUUUCGAGUGCCGAUGCCACACCAGUUGGGAAACAUAAUUGAUUUACUUUCACCAAUCCAUAUAAGACUCGUCACUGAUGGAGCCAAACAUCACCCUGUUGUCCGGUUCCCAGUUCUAGAUCUCAUUAGUCGAGGACAAAUAUUCAACAAACCUGGUAUUCAUCAUCUUAUUCAUGGUCCUGGUAUUCCUUGGUAAACAGUGAUUAACCAAAUUCACCAACAUUCAAUCAGUAUCAAUUUCCACCACAAGAUGACAGCAGACGUUCAAUUACUCUUUGUUUUGUAAUUUUUUCUUGAACCGUUUCAACUCAACUCUAACAAUUAAUCAUGUUGUAUGUUUUCAAUUGGAAUCACCAAGUGUUGGAAUCUACAAGGAAAUCAUCUUUUUGAUAAUAAAUGGCAAGACAAACACUUGGAAGUCAAAUGGUUCAUUAAAUGGAUUGGAAAGGCAAGGAUAAGAAAUCAAAUCAAUGGAGGAAUACAAUUAAUUUCAGAUUCUCGUUAUCUGCAUAAUCAUGGGAGAAGAAGCUCAUCAAUUUUCUUGCUUCAAUUCAUUCAUCUAUGUCACUAUUGACCAUUUAAAUCAUAACAAGGAUUGUUAUCAUUUCCAUCAUCAAUCACCGCAUUAUUUUCACUCCUAAUGAUGAUCCAUAUUCACCAUCGUCUUAUAUCAAGCUUUAAAAUUGGCCGGUUGAUUAAUUUUAAUUAAAAGCAAAGAUCGCAGACAAUAUGAAAAGUCAGUGAUGGUUGGAAACGGAAAAUAUAUUGACCAAUAUUUUACCAUGAAAUGGAUAAAGACUGGGACAAUUGUCCAUCAUUCAAUUUACAUUCAUCAAUCUUGAUUAACCAAAGACUCAAGUAGAGACAAGGGGAAAGGCACACAGACUGGAAAUGAUAUCAUCAAAUGAACAAUCAAUGUCAUCAUUAUAAUCAUGAGAAAACUCGAGUUGUCCCAUUAAAAUAUUUUAUAACCCAAAA